GUCCUCGCUUCGGCAGGACAUAUACUAAAAUUGGAAUGAUACAGAGAAGAUUAGCGCAUGUCCCCUGCGCAAGGAUGACACGCAAAUUCGUGAAGCGUUCCAUUUUUUU